AUAUUCCACGCACUGCGCCCUGACUCCGCAUACAACGCUCAUUCCUCUCUUUGGCUCGUGAAGUCGUGAUGAAACCCUUCCUUGUCUCUCCCUCUCUCGAUCUACGCCGCCAGCUCCCUUCCCUCGAUCUGCACUCGGCUCUUCCACUGCGGCACAGCAAGGGAGGAAGAUGGGAUUGGCGGGCGAGCGGCUGCGGGGCGCGGGCGGCCUGCGGCGGGCGAGGGCCUGUCGGUCGCGGCCGCGGGCGAGGGCCUGCGGGGCGGCGAAGAGGGGAUACUCCAGCGGGCUACCAGCGGCGGGAGAGGCUUAGCGCCUGCUUCUUCUCCUGAAGGAUCAUCGCCAACUCACUGCUGCUCAUAGAGACUUCCAAGGACAGUUACAACAAUUCUGGAGCAUGUAUCGUCCUCAAUCCUCCUGAUUUUGCUACCGCCAUUUCCAUAGUAUUCAAGAUGUAAAACCUCGACCUGUGUAUCAAUUAUUUUUGCUGGAAGACUACCGUGAGGAAAAUGAUGUACAAGAGGAAGUCAAGGAAAGAGGUGUUGCCCUGAAGGAUCUCAUCGAGUGUAGGCGCGAGCGUGUGCCCGAAAGGGAUGAGGCGGUGGAGGCAUGGAGGGGUGUCGUUAUUGUGUACACAAGACAUGACUUCAGGAGACGUGCAACGCACGUGCAAGCUUACUAGUAGACACUAAAACAAGCAACUCGACACACUAUGCAACCGAAAAUUCAACAAUGCAAAAACGAAGUGGUAAUAGGGAAAAGGCUCAAACUGUCUGGGACAUAGAUGAACUAAUCUAACUUUUUGUGGCUUUUUCGUGGACUA